UGAAUAUUCUCUUUCUGAUUCCAGAUAGGGAGACGGGGAUUACUAAAACUAGGUCGAUUCUUACGAGAACGGUAUGGUGGUUUUCUCCCUUCAACAUUCAACGCCUCUCAAGUUCGAACUUUGUCUAUUGAGUUCAAUCGGUGCGUGGAAAGCGCCGAGUGUCUUUUGACCGGGCUGUAUCCUCCGAAUGGCGAUAAUGCACCGCAUAAUUUGUCCUGCCGCUCCUUCCCGAUCAGUGUUGUUCCUCGUGAGGAAGAUGACAUGCUCCUGAUAUUUGGGAGACCGUGCGAAAAAUUCGUCGAAGAAU